rnacentral:rRNA from 1 species
AGUGAACGCUGGCGGUAGGCCUAACACAUGCAAGUCGAACGGCAGCACAGUAAGAGCUUGCUCUUACGGGUGGCGAGUGGCGGACGGGUGAGGAAUACAUCGGAAUCUACUUUUUCGUGGGGGAUAACGUAGGGAAACUUACACUAAUACCGCAUACGACCUACGGGUGAAAGCAGGGGAUCUUCGGACCUUGCGCGAUUGAAUGAGCCGAUGUCGGAUUAGCUAGUUGGCGGGGUAAAGGCCCACCAAGGCGACGAUCCGUAGCUGGUCUGAGAGGAUGAUCAGCCACACUGGAACUGAGACACGGCCCAGACUCCUACGGGAGGCAGCAGUGGGGAAUAUUGGACAAUGGGCGCAAGCCUGAUCCAGCCAUACCGCGUGGGUGAAGAAGGCCUUCGGGUUGUAAAGCCCUUUUGUUGGGAAAGAAAAGCAGCAGGUUAAUACCCCGCUGUUCUGACGGUACCCAAAGAAUAAGCACCGGCUAACUUCGUG